UACGUAGGGACCGAGCGUUAUCCGGAUUCAUUGGGCGUAAAGAGCUCGUAGGCGGCUAUUCAAGUCGAACGUGAAAUCUCGGGGCUCAACUCCGAGCCUGCGUUCGAUACUGGGUAGCUAGAGUCUGGUAGGGGGAUCUGGAAUUCCUGGUGUAGCGGUGAAAUGCGUAGAUAUCUGGAGGAACACCGGUGGCGAAGGCGGCAUCCUGGACCAACACUGACGCUGAGGAGCGAAGGCCAGGGGAGCAAACGGG
rnacentral:rRNA from 1 species